UACGGAGGAUCCGAGCGUUAUCCGGAUUUAUUGGGUUUAAAGGGUGCGCAGGCGGGAGAUUAAGUCGGCGGUGAAAUUUCGCAGCUCAACUGUAAAAGUGCCUUCGAAACUGGUUUCCUUGAGUGUAGAUGAAGUAGGCGGAAUUUGUGGUGUAGCGGUGAAAUGCAUAGAUAUCACGAGGAACUCCGAUUGCGCAGGCAGCUUACUAAACUACUACUGACGCUCAGGCACGAAGGCGUGGGGAUCAAACAGGAUUAGAUACCCCUGUA
rnacentral:rRNA from 1 species